CCGUAGGCCGUCUGGUUCCACUCGGUAGAUGCUGCUACCGCCCCGAUGAUGAGUGAUGGGAUGCCGAGGAUCGGACACAGAACUGCUCCAGCAUAGCAGGUGAUCUUGGCU